rfam:Oryza glaberrima chromosome 12 Oglab12_0189_3, whole genome shotgun sequence.
AAAAAGAUAAACCUUAGGUUUCCGUGUCCAACGUUUGACUGUCUGUCUUAUAUGAAAUAUUUUUAUAAUUAGUAUUUUUAUUGUUGUUAGAUGAUAAAACAUAAUUAAUACUUUAUGCAUGGCUUGUCUUUUUAAUUUUUUUCAUAAUUUUUUCAAAUAAGACGGAUGGUCAAAUAUUGGACACUGAAACCUAGAGUUUAUCUUUUU